rnacentral:lncRNA from 1 species
CUUAAUGUUGCCUCUAUAAUAGAUUUCAGAUUUGAUCUAAUCAAAUCUAAUUGUAUGAAUUUAUCAGAUUAUGUCAGUUCUUCUACCUGUCAAACUUCAUAAAUUCUACAUUAAAGGCAUCAGUACCUUCACCAAGGUACUCUUUUUCUAAAAAGAAUGUUGAACAACUCUUGUUCUUUAGCAUGGUAGAAGUUAUAUCCCCUAGAUUCUUUGGGGUACCCUACAAAAUAAUACAUAUAGGAUCAAGAUCCAAGCUAAUUGGUCUACAAAUGCUCGACAUAAACUAAACACUCCCAAACCCCAAGAUAAGAAAGUAUCGGCUUAUGCCUAG